GAGAGAAAAUGUACCUGAAAACAAUCGACCAGCCACAGGAUACCCCCUGCCACCUCAGAUUUUCAAUGAAAGCCAGUAUCGCGGGGACUAUGAUGCCUUCUUUGAAGCCAGAGAAAAUAAUGCAGUGUAUGCCUUCUUAGGCUUGACAGCCCCACCUGGUUCAAAGGAAGCAGAAGUGCAAGCAAAGCAGCAAGCAUGAACCUUAAGCACUGUGCUUUAAGCAUCCUGAAAAAUGAG
rnacentral:misc_RNA from 1 species